rnacentral:rRNA from 1 species
UACGUAGGGUGCGAGCGUUGUCCGGAAUUACUGGGCGUAAAGAGCUCGUAGGUGGUUUGUCGCGUUGUCCGUGAAAACUCACAACUCAAUUGUGGGCGUGCGGGCGAUACGGGCAGACUGGAGUACUGCAGGGGAGACUGGGAUUCCUGGUGUAGCGGUGGAAUGCGCAGAUAUCAGGAGGAACACCGGUGGCGAAGGCGGGUCUCUGGGCAGUAACUGACGCUGAGGAGCGAAAGCGUGGGGAGCGAACAGG